CCUACGGGUGGCAGCAGUGGGGAAUCUUGGACAAUGGGCGCAACCUGAUCCAGCCAUGCCGCGUGAGUGAAGAAGGCCUUAGGGUUGUAAAGCUCUUUUACCAGGGACGCGGUACCUGGAGAAUAAGCCCCGGCAAACUUCGUGCCAGCAGCCGCGGUAAUACGAAGGGGGCUAGCGUUGUUCGGAAUUACUGGGCGUAAAGCGCACGUAGGCGGGUCGUUAAGUCAGGGGUGAAAUCCCGGAGCUCAACUCCGAACUGCCUUUGAUACUGGCGAUCUAGAGAUCGAGAGAGGUGAGUGGAAUUCCGAGUGUAGAGGUGAAAUUCGUAGAUAUUCGGAAGAACACCAGUGGCGAAGGCGGCUCACUGGCUGAACUGACGCUGAGGUGCGAAACGUGGGGAGCAAACAGGAUUAGAUACCCGUGUAGUC
rnacentral:rRNA from 1 species